CUGGGGCUGAAGUCGGUCCCAAGGGUAUGGCUGUUCGCCAUUUAAAGUGGUACGCGAGCUGGGUUUAGAACGUCGUGAGACAGUUCGGUCCCUAUCUGCCGUGGGCGUUGGAAGAUUGAAGGGGGCUGCUCCUAGUACGAGAGGACCGGAGUGGACGAACCUCUGGUGUUCGGGUUGUGUCGCCAGACGCAUUGCCCGGUAGCUAAGUUCGGAAUCGAUAACCGCUGAAAGCAUCUAAGCGGGAAGCGAGCCCUGAGAUGAGUCUUCCCUGAUACUUUAAGUAUCCUGAAGGGUUGUUCGAGACUAGAACGUUGAUAGGCAGGGUGUGUAAGCGCUGUGAGGCGUUGAGCUAACCUGUACUAAUUGCCCGUGAGGCUUAACCAUACAACACCCAAAGGGUUUUG
rnacentral:rRNA from 1 species